UUCAACAAACUAAAAGAUGUUAAAAAACAAUUCAGGGAUGACUGCUUCACAGUAUUCACUGUGAGCGCCAAAGAAUUUCUACAGAAAAGACUUCUCAAACCAGAGGAAACUGAAAUACCCGAACUUCAGAUGUUUCUGCGAAGUCUCAAUGACCAGCACUCAGAAACACUGAACUAUGUGUUUGGAGCCUAUGGGAUUCUCUCUCUGAUGAAGACGGCACACUGUGGAGAUGCUGCCAGAAAAAUGUCAGUGUGUGCAGAGCUUAUGGAAAAUAUAACAUGUGAGAAAGAAAAAGUCAGAAAACCCAUGGAGGACGCUUAUGAAGGUUUUAAAAAACACCUCCAUACAAGUGUUGAAAAAUCAAAAGAGUCUUGUGAAAAGGCGCUGGAAAAGAUGUUAUAUCGUUCUGGAAAAGCAAAGCGUGGUUUUCACAACAAAUUGAAACAUGCUAUGAAGAACAAUGGCAUCUUCAAACCAGUGAAAAAGACGAAAAAAGGAAUCAACAUGAACAUGACAUUGUCUUCACUUCUGUCUGAAAGCAUUGAUGAGGAGUUCAAAAACGCCUUCCCGAAUGAUGGGAAUUCGGGUCCAUUCUACGGAGCUAUCAGUGACUUUACACUUUACACAGAGAAACUGAGUCAAAACUACAAGGAUGUUGAACUGCAGCUGAUAUUUCUCAAGACAGAGGAAGAAAAAAUGAAGGCAAAACUCUGCAGAAUCACCCGGCAUCGCAAGAAAACAAUCUACAAUAGUCUGACUGAGACAAUUGAGGAAACAAUGCGAGAAUGCUAUACAAGAGCAGCAGAGGUCAGAGGCAAAGAAAGUCUUAAUAAAAUGAGGGAAAUUAUUCAGAACCAUGUACGUGCAUCAAAGGCCACUAUGUUUGACUUGGCCAAGGAUGAUAUGUUGACCCAACUGAGAGAACUGAUGGUUUGUUUAUUUCACAAAAUGUGCAGUUAUUGUGAUG
rnacentral:lncRNA from 1 species